rnacentral:lncRNA from 1 species
GAGACCCAGUAAGUGACCCAAUAGGAAGCAUCCCAGGACACAGAGGAAGCCAUACAUGGCUGCAUACCUAGUAUCAGGCCCACUGUCUGCAGACCUUCAAGUGGAUCUUCAUCCAAGCACCAGCCCUGGAACAAGGCAGAAGAACACCACCUUCUUGCGCUUCUUCGCCUCCUCCGGCAUUGAAGACUUACGCAUCUUCAUGUCCUUGAACACCUUGAUGACACCAUCAGAGACGGCCACCCCUGAGGCCAUGUUUCUGGAAGUGAAAAGAAGAAGGCACGGAGAGCCUCAGAAGACACUGCUGCUAGGACCCACCUGAACCAAGUCUUAACAUCUUUAAGAAGAUUUGAAUCAAAUCAAGUAUAUUUUGUGGACAAAAUGGCAUGAAACUAGAAAUCAACAAACAGGAGUAAAUUUGGAAAAUUCACAACUGUGUAAAUUAAACAAUGUGCUCCUGAACAACCAAUGCAUCAAAG